rnacentral:rRNA from 1 species
GAGUAGGUCUCGUAGGUGACCUGCGGAGGGAUCAUUACACAAUAAAAUAUGAAGGCUGUACGCGGCUGUGCUCUCGGGCCAGUUUUGCGGAGGCUGAAUUAUUUAUUACCCUUGUCUUUUGCGCACUUGUUGUUUCCUGGGCGGGUUCGCCCGCCACCAGGACCACAUCAUAAACCUUUUUUAUGCAGUUGCAAUCAGCGUCAGUAUAACAAAUGUAAAUCAUUUACAACUUUCAACAACGGAUCUCUUGGUUCUGGCAUCGAUGAAGAACGCAGCGAAAUGCGAUACGUAGUGUGAAUUGCAGAAUUCAGUGAAUCAUCGAAUCUUUGAACGCACAUUGCGCCCUUUGGUAUUCCAAAGGGCAUGCCUGUUCGAGCGUCAUUUGUACCCUCAAGCUUUGCUUGGUGUUGGGCGUUUUUUGUCUUUGGUUGCCAAAGACUCGCCUUAAAAGGAUUGGCAGCCGGCCUACUGGUUUCGCAGCGCAGCACAUUUUUGCGCUUGCAAUCAGCAAAAGAGGACGGCAAUCCAUCAAGACUCCUUCUCACGUUUGACCUCGGAUCAGGUAGGGAUACCCGCUGAACUUAAGCAUAUCAAUAAGCCGGAGGAAA